CUGCAGAAGUCAGCGCUCCUUCACAGCUCGCCACGUGUGAUGUUUAUCUGUCGAGAGAGAGAGGAAAGGGAUGCUUCACGUUAAGCUUACUGUAUUUCAGCCACCAAGUUCUAAAUGCUACUCUGAUUCCAUCUGGACUUCCCUAGGUAGACGACCUCACCAACGCUGCCUGGAGCCUCACCUUUCCAGAGCCCUACCCCACUAGGGGAAACAGAAACAGGCUGGGGGCACAGAUCCACCUGCUAAUAUCCAUGUUCACUGGAGAAGCAAUUAUAGAAGACAGAACUCCCACCAUCUGCACCCCCCAAAAAAGGUUUUUCUCCCAGAAGGAUAAAGAAUAGAGAAGCUUCCAAUGGAGGGGAUGGGACACAGAACUCUGGUGGUGGGAGCAGUGUGUAAUUGUACCCCUGUUAUCUUUCAAUUUUGUUGAUCAUUAAAUCACUAAU